rnacentral:lncRNA from 1 species
CUUUUAUUUCUUUUAUUUCUCUGAUUGCUGUGGCUAGGACUUCCAGAACUAUGUUGAAGAGUAGUGGUGAGAGCAGACAUCCUUGUCUUGUUCCUGAUCUCAGCGGGAAUUCUUUCAGCUUUUCACCAUUGAGAAUGAUGUUAGCUGUGGGUUUGUCGUAUAUGGCCUUUAUCAUGUUGCGAUAGGUUCCCUGUAUGCCCACUUUCUGAAGGGUUUUUAUCAGAAAUGGGUGUUGGCUUUUUUCAAAGGCUUUUUCCACGUCUGUUGAGAGGAUCAUAUGGUUUUUAUUCUUCAGUUUGUUAAUGUGGUAUAUCAUACUGAUGGAUUUGCGGAUAUUGAAGAACCCUUGCAUCCCUGAGAUAAAUCCCACUUGAUCAUGAUGUAUAAUCCUUUUAAUGUAUUGUUGGAUGCGGUUUGCUAGUAUUUUGUUGAGGGUUUUUGCAUCGAUGUUCAUGAGUGAAAUUGGCCUAUAGUUUUCUUUUUUUGUGGUAUCUUUGUCUGGCUUUGGUACCAGGGUGAUGAUGGCCUCAUAGAAUGAGUUUGGGAGUAUCCCUUCCUCUGCAAUUUUUUGGAAUAGUUUCAGAAGGAGAGGUGUUAGCUCUUCUCUAAAUGUUUGAUAGAAUUUGCCUGUGAAGCCGUCUGGUCCUGGACUUUUGUUUGUUGGAAGUUUUUUAAUCACAGUUUCAAUUUCAGUUCUUGGGGUUGGUCCAUUCAUCUUUUCUGUUUCAUCUUGGUUUAGUCUUGGAAGAUUGUACUUUUCUAAGAAUUUGUCCACCUCUUCUAGGUUUUCCAUUUUAUUGGCAUAUAGUUGCAUAUAGUAGUCUCUUACGAUCCUUUGUAUUUCUGUGAUGUCCGUUGUUACUUCUCCUUUUUCAUUUCCAAUUUUAUUGAUUUGAGUCCUCUCUCUUUUUUUCUUGAGAAGUCUGGCUAAGGGUUUAUCAGUUUUGUUGGAUCUUUUCAAAGAACCAGUUUUUCGUUUCAUUGAUCUUUUCUAUGGUUUUCUUCGUUUCUUAUUUCAUUGAUUUUGGCUCUGAUCUUUAUGGUUUCUUUCCUUCUACUAACUUUAGGUCUUGUCUGUUCUUCUCUCUCGAGCUGCUGUAGAUGUAAAGUUAGGUUGUUUAUUUGGGCUUUUUCUUGUUUCCUGAGGUGGGCUAGUAUUGCUAUAAAACUUUCCUCUUAGAACGGCUUUUGCUGAAUCCCAUAGGUUUUGGAGUGUCGUAUCUUCGUUGUCAUUUGCGGCUAGGUAUUUUUAAAUUUCCUCUUUGAUUUCUUUGGUUGUUUAAUAGCAUGUUGUUGAGUCUCCACGUGUUUGUGUUUUUUGCAGUUUUUUUCUUGUUGAUUUCUAAUCAUAUAGCGUUGUGUUUGGAAAAGAUGCUUGAUAUGAUUUCAAUUUUCUUAAAGUUACCGGGGUUGGAUUUGUAGCCCAGGAUAUGAUCAAUCUUAGAGAGUGUUCCAUGUGCACUUGAGAAGAAUGUGUAUUUUGUUGCUUUUGGAUGAAGUGUCCUAUAAAUAUCUAUUAAGUCCAUCUGGUCUAAUGCUUCAUUCAGGGCCUGUGUUUCCUUAUUGACUUUCUGUCUGGAUGAUCUGUCCAUUGCUGUAAGUGGGGUGUUGAAGCCCCCCACUAUUGUUGUGUUAUGGUCGAUUUCUCCUUUUAAGGUUUUCAGCAAUUGCCUUAUAUAUGGUGGUGAAACUGUGUUGGGUGUGUAGAUAUUUAAAAUUGUUAUAUCAUCUUCUUGGAUUGAUCCUUUGAUCAUUAUGUAAUGUCCCUCCUUGUCCCUUAAAAUAUUCUUCAUUUUAAAGACUAUUUUGUCUGAUAUGAGUAUUGCUACUCCACCUUUCUUUUGGCCCCUGUUUGCAUGAAAUAUUUUCUUCCAUCCUCUCACUUUCAAUUUGUAUGUGUCCCUAGAAGUGAAGUGGGUCUCUUGAAGACAGCAUAUAUAUGGAUCUUGUUUUUGUAUCCAUUCAGCCAGUCUGUGUCUUUUGGGUGGGGUGUUUAGUCUAUUAACACUUAAGGUAAUUAUUGAUAUGCAUGUUCUUAUUGCCAUUUUAUUAAUUGCUUUGGAUUUGUAUUUGUUGCUCUUUUUUCUUCCCUUCUUCUCUUGUUCUCUCCUCUUCUGGUUUGAUGACUAUCCUUAGUGUUUGUUGUGUUUGAGUUGAUGUUUCCCAUUUGUUUAUGUAUCAAUUGUAGAUUUUUUUGUUUGCAGUUAUUCUGAAAUUUUGAUAUGUCUAUAUAUAUAGAAGAUUGUUUUAAUAUUUAAUUGUAGAUUUUUUUGUUUGCAGUUAUUCUGAAAUUUUGAUAUGUCUAUAUAUAUACAAGAUUGGUCUUAAUUGCAAGUGCAUCUCCAGUGUCCUGCAUCUGUACCCUCCUCUUCUCAUGAUUUCUGAUUUUGGUGGCAUAAUUGUGUGUGGAUGAUUUCGUAUCUUUACUAUAUAUAUACCUUUACUGGUGAGCCUUGUCAUUUGUGGCCUUUUUGUUUCCUGUUGCACCUUUUCUUUUCUGUCUAGAGAAGUCCCUUUAGUAUUUGUUGUAAAGUUGGUUUAGUGUUGCUGAAUUCUUUUAGCUUUUGUUUAUCUGUGAAGCUUUUGAUUUUUGAUUUCUCUUUCAAAUCUGAAUGAGAGCCUUAAUGGGUAAAGUAAUCUUGGUUGGAGGUUUUUUUCCUUUCAUCACGUUGAGUAUAUCAUGCCACUCCCUUCUGGCCUGCAGAGUUUCUGCUGAAAAAUCUGCCGAUAACUUUAUUGGGGUUCCCUUGUACGUUAUUUGUUUCUUUCCCCUAGCUGCUUUCAAGAUUUUCUCUUUGUCUUUAAUUUUGGUCAGUUUGAUUAGUAUGUGUCUUGGGGUGUUCCUCCUUGGGUUUAUUUUAUAUGGUACUCGUUGAACUUCCUGGAUUUGAGUGAGUGGUUCGUUUUCCUUUUUAGGGAAGUUUUUGGCUAUUAUCUCUUGGAAUAUUUUUUCUGUCUCCUUCCCUCUCUCUUCUCCUUCUGGCAUCCCUAUAAUAUGGAUGUUGUUGCGUUUCAUGUUGUCCCAGAGUUCU